rnacentral:lncRNA from 1 species
CAUCUUCCAUCACCGGUCUGAGAUUCUAACGCCAAAGAAAGUAACGGAUCCUUUGAAAGAAGCUCUCCAUUCACUUUGUCAGCCUCAGUAUUAUUCAAGGAAGAACUAGACUGAUCCUUUUUAACCUGCAUGAGUUCAACACCCUUCACAGAAGGAUCUAGAGACCGAGAAUUAUAAACAGAUAAUACUUUUGAAGAUCCAUUUGAUUUAGAUUGUGAAACCACAUGUGCUGUUGCAGCUCCUUUAUCAGCCUUUUGAAACGACAUAGCCACGGAUUCAAU